GAUGAACGCUGGCGGCGUGCUUAACACAUGCAAGUCGAACGGAAAGGUCGUGCUCUUGUUGGGUGCUCGAGUGGCGAACGGGUGAGUAACACGUGUGUAACCUGCCCUUGACUUUGGGAUAACUUCACGAAAGUGGGGCUAAUACCGGAUAGGAGCUCCUGCAGCCAGGUGAGGGUUGGUAAGUUGCGGCGGUUGGGGAAGGACUAGCGGGUUAUCUGCUUGUUUGUGGGGUUGUGGGAUAACAAGGGUUUGACGGGUAGGCGGCCUGGGAAGGUGAACGGCGACACUGGGCCUGAGAUAAGGCGCAGCAGCCUACGGGAGGCAUCGGUGGGGAAUAUUGCACAGUGGGCGGAAGCCUGAUGCAAGGACGCCGCGUGCGGGAUGCCGGCCUUGGGGUUGUAAACCGCUUUAGCCUGUGACGACGCGGGAGUGACGGUAACGGGUAAAGAAGCACCGGCUAACUACGUG
rnacentral:rRNA from 1 species